rnacentral:rRNA from 1 species
GAGUUUGAUCAUGGCUCAGGAUGAACACUAGCGGCAGGCCUAACACAUACAAGUCGAGGGGUAACAGGGUAGCAAUAUCGCUGACGACCGGCGCACGGGUGAGUAACGCGUAUGCAACCUUCCUUUAACUGGGGGAUAGCCUGGAGAAAUUCGGAUUAAUACCCCAUAACAUCAUGAGAAGGCAUCUUUUUAUGAUUAAAGCUCCGGCGGUUAAAGAUGGGCAUGCGUGCCAUUAGCUUGUUGGUGAGGUAACGGCUCACCAAGGCUUCGAUGGUUAGGGGGUCUGAGAGGAUGAUCCCCCACACUGGUACUGAGACACGGACCAGACUCCUACGGGAGGCAGCAGUGAGGAAUAUUGGGCAAUGGGCGCAAGCCUGACCCAGCCAUGCCGCGUGAAGGAUGAAUGCCCUAUGGGUUGUAAACUUCUUUUGUACGGGACGAAACUCCUGGUCGUGACCGGGAUUGACUGUACCGUGCGAAUAAGCAUCGGCUAACUCCGUGCCAGCAGCCGCGGUAAUACGGAGGAUGCAAGCGUUAUCCGGAUUCAUUGGGUUUAAAGGGUGCGUAGGCGGAAUAAUAAGUCAGUGGUGAAAGCCUGCGGCUUAACCGUAGAAAUGCCAUUGAUACUGUUAUUCUUGAGUAUAGUUGAGGUGGGCGGAAUGUGUAAUGUAGCGGUGAAAUGCUUAGAUAUUACACAGAACACCAAUUGCGAAGGCAGCUCACUAAGCUGU